rnacentral:rRNA from 1 species
GAUGAACGCUGGCGGCGUGCCUAAUACAUGCAAGUCGAGCGAACGGACGAGAAGCUUGCUUCUCUGAUGUUAGCGGCGGACGGGUGAGUAACACGUGGAUAACCUACCUAUAAGACUGGGAUAACUUCGGGAAACCGUAGCUAAUACCGGAUAAUAUUUUGAACCGCAUGGUUCAAAAGUGAAAGACGGUCUUGCUGUCACUUAUAGAUGGAUCCGCGCUGCAUUAGCUAGUUGGUAAGGUAACGGCUUACCAAGGCAACGAUGCAUAGCCGACCUGAGAGGGUGAUCGGCCACACUGGAACUGAGACACGGUCCAGACUCCUACGGGAGGCAGCAGUAGGGAAUCUUCCGCAAUGGGCGAAAGCCUGACGGAGCAACGCCGCGUGAGUGAUGAAGGUCUUCGGAUCGUAAAACUCUGUUAUUAGGGAAGAACAUAUGUGUAAGUAACUGUGCACAUCUUGACGGUACCUAAUCAGAAAGCCACGGCUAACUACGUGCCAGCAGCCGCGGUAAUACGUAGGUGGCAAGCGUUAUCUGGAAUUAUUGGGCGUAAAGCGCGCGUAGGCGGUUUUUUAGUCUGAUGUGAAAGCCCACGGCUCAACCGUGGAGGGUCAUUGGAAACUGGAAAACUUGAGUGCAGAAGAGGAAAGUGGAAUUCCAUGUGUAGCGGUGAAAUGCGCAGAGAUAUGGAGGAACACCAGUGGCGAAGGCGACUUUCUGGUCUGUAACUGACGCUGAUGUGCGAAAGCGUGGGGAUCAAACAGGAUUAGAUACCCUGGUAGUCCACGCCGUAAACGAUGAGUGCUAAGUGUUAGGGGGUUUCCGCCCCUUAGUGCUGCAGCUAACGCAUUAAGCACUCCGCCUGGGGAGUACGACCGCAAGGUUGAAACUCAAAGGAAUUGACGGGGACCCGCACAAGCGGUGGAGCAUGUGGUUUAAUUCGAAGCAACGCGAAGAACCUUACCAAAUCUUGACAUCCUUUGACAACUCUAGAGAUAGAGCCUUCCCCUUCGGGGGACAAAGUGACAGGUGGUGCAUGGUUGUCGUCAGCUCGUGUCGUGAGAUGUUGGGUUAAGUCCCGCAACGAGCGCAACCCUUAAGCUUAGUUGCCAUCAUUAAGUUGGGCACUCUAAGUUGACUGCCGGUGACAAACCGGAGGAAGGUGGGGAUGACGUCAAAUCAUCAUGCCCCUUAUGAUUUGGGCUACACACGUGCUACAAUGGACAAUACAAAGGGCAGCGAAACCGCGAGGUCAAGCAAAUCCCAUAAAGUUGUUCUCAGUUCGGAUUGUAGUCUGCAACUCGACUACAUGAAGCUGGAAUCGCUAGUAAUCGUAGAUCAGCAUGCUACGGUGAAUACGUUCCCGGGUCU